CAACCGCGCCGCGCUCUUCGAUCCUCUCCCCUCGCCGCCUUCCGAUCACCACCGCCCGCCUCCGCCCACCCAUGCCUCCCGGCCGCCUCUUCCUUUUCCGCCGCCUCCUCUCCACCUCCACGACGUCUCCCGCCCCGGCGCCCGCGCCAAGGCCGACGGAUCCCGCUCUGCUUCUCCGCCUCUGCACGAUCCUCUACCAGCACCAGCACGAUCCCGACGACAAGCUGCACCGCCGCCUCUCCGCGCUGUCGCUUCCCACCGCACCCUCCGACCUCCGCGAGCUCUUCCUCCAGGCCUCCGCGCGGUUCCCGCUCUCCUGGCGCCCCGUGCACCGCCUCCUCGCGCACCUCUCCGCCCGCCCCAGCGGAGCCAGCGACGGCGGCGGUGGGUUCCCACACUCCGCCGCCACCGCCGCGCGCCUCCUCGACGUACUCGGCAAGUCCGGGAACAUCGACCUUCUCCACUCCACGCUCUUCUCCCUGCCCCGCACCCUCCUCUCCGCGGCGGCACUCCGCGCCGCCGUCCGCGGCCUCGCCCCCAGCCGCGAGGUCGGGAAGGUCGCCGCGCUCGUGACGCUCUUCCCCGAAUGCCACCGCGCUCGGAUCCUCACGUUCGUCACCGAAGUCGCGUGCUCGGAGCCGUGCAGGCUGCCGGACGUGGCGGAGAAGGUGAUCAAGCGCGCCGAGCACCAGCACGGCGUCUCGCGCACCGCGAGGUGCGACGAACUGCUGGUCGUCGCGUACUGCCGCUCGGGGUCGCUCGCGGACGCCUGCAGGGUGUGGAACGGAAUGGAGAGGCGCGGCCUCGAGCCGGGCGCCGCGGCGUACCAGGAGAUCGUGGUGACCAUGUUCAAAAACAACCGCACCGCGGACGCCAUGAAGGUGUUCGACGGAAUGCGGAGGAGCGGAGUGCAGGACGACGGAGGCGCGUGCUGCCGCGCGGUGGUGUCUUGGCUUUGCAAGGAUGGGAAGGUGUGGGGCGCGUACAUGGUAUUCGCUGAAAUGGUGAAGAUAGGUGUGGAGGUGGACGCGGUGGUACUGGGUGAUUUGGUGUAUGGGCUGAUUGCGAGGAGAAGGGUUAGGGAAGGAUACAAGGUGUUUCAUGGUGUUAGGGAGAAGGACAUUGCGCUGUAUCAUGGGUUGAUGAAGGGGCUGCUGAGGAUAAAGCGGGCAGGGGAGGCGACCGAGGUGUUCAGGGAGAUGAUCAGCAGGGGAUGUGAACCGAACAUGCACACUUACAUCAUGUUGCUUCAGGGACAUUUGGGGAAGAGAGGCCGGAAGGGGAGGGACCCAUUAGUGAACUUCGAGAGCAUAUUUGUUGGUGGCUUGGUGAAAGCUGGGAGGACAUUACAGGCAACUAAGUUUGUUGAGAGGACAAUGUGGGGUGGGGUGAAUGUGCCAAGGUUUGACUAUAACAAGUUCCUAUACUGUUUCUCGAAUGAGGAGGGGGCACCAAUGUUUGAAGAGGUUGGAAAGAGACUGAGGGAGGUUGGACUAAUUGAUCUUGCAGACAUUUUGUCAACCUAUGGUGAACGCAUGACCACCAGGGAUAGGAGGAGGAGAGCAAUGAAUGGACUUCCAACAUCUGUUCAAGAUGUUAGUUGACAAUCAUCAUUGCUGGAUCUAGGAUCUUGUGAUGUUUUGGAGCAAAGUAAGUACUGUAGAAUGUAGCUGAUCUGCUCAUAUUUCACACACCGGAGGAGAAUGCACUUUUCGUAACAUCAGGAGUUAUUCUAAAAAGUUCUCUUUCGUCUCAUUCAGAAUUUCCUUUUUCAGGUGCAUCCUUUUUCCAUAGAAAUGUCUAAUAUAUUUAGAAGAUAAAGUUCUCAUAGAAAGAAAGGCUCUCAUGAGCAGUGUGCAACCUGAUUCUUCAAAGCUUUUGUGGAAUCCUCACUUGCCAGACCAAAUUAUAGUGCUCAUUAUUGGUACUUAACUUGCAUUUGUGGAUCAUUUGGAUUCCUCAACUUGAGGAAUCCAUAUUUACCCCUAAAUUUAGUGAGUGUAUGUGUACAGAUUCAAAGUUAGUAUUCAGAGAUGACUUAACACACCGUUCAAUCUAAAUUGUAAUGUGAACAGCAAUGUAUCUUGCAGAAUCAAUGGACUUUUGUUUUCUUUCAUUUGAAGAGAUAUUUUGCAUGCCUUUUCUGAAGUUCUAGUAUGUUUCUUUCCGCAUUAAUCUGCAAACUUUAUUUUGUACAUGAUCUGUGUGACAUGUUACCACUAAUUGCUAGUUAAGUCGGAUUUUAACUUGUAUUGAGACGCUUUCACAAGUUUAGUUAUCUAAAUGUGCAAUUCUCCAGUUUACACACCCAACACAAGUGACACACCCUUGCAAGUUUAGGCACCCAUGUGCAAAACUGAAACAAUCUCAUGUCAAGACAUAUCAAUUUUUUAACACAAUUGUAGUGUUCUUUUUUAAUUUAUGAUCUCUGAGCAAGACUUUCUAAUGAGCACCUCGGCAGUGGGUGUCGUCACGUAUCUCCAUGGUGCUCUAUCUUUAUUUUUUAAGUGAACGUGCACCUGCUGCAUAAUUCUUCCCAUGUUGUAUGUCACUAUUUUGUGGUUAGAAUAUAGAAGAGAAUUAUCUGAGAAAUUCACAAAAAUGAAAUAAUAUAUUCCUCGGUUUUACAGAUGCUAGCUUCAGGUAAGUUACAACAACGGAUCAUUUUGCAUAAUACGUCAUGAGUGAAUUUCCCUUAUGUAGAAAUUAGUCUAUACAUGUGCAUUUCUAUACCAUAUUGUGAAAUUUAACUGUUAAAAAUAUUGUUUCCGUCUAAAUUUUCGUGAGAGAUGAACAUUUUUGCUUGCAUCUAAAAUUUGUUUGCAGUUGCAUUUUCCUUCUUUCAUCAAAUAUAUAUAAAAUACCAUGUUCAAGUGUUUAGAAUAUGAGAAGGUGGGCAUGCAGUAGAGAGGGAAAGAGGGGUAAAAUAAAGGGAGAUUCGACGGUGUAGUUAAUGGCCAGCUUACACAAGUAACAUCUAAAUAAGCUUAGCAUCUAAACUUUGGGGGCCCUGUGCAAUCGGCCAUUCUGGACUUGCUAAUCGAUGAUCCUGGUCUUCCAGUCUAUUUUCUAUCGUUGCCACAUGUUUCGUUUAAAUGCCUUGUUCCUGUACACGAUUUAAUUGGUGCAACUGGUGUUUGGUAUGAUGGUAUCCAAGGUAUUGGUGUGCUGCAGUCUACAAUAUAUAUUAUAAAUAAGGAGUACUAGAUCAACAAUAGUGGGUCCCAGUCAAUUAUUUACACUUUGCUAUGAAAGUCCAGCAUCCAUUUUUGACUUUAAGAGCCAUGUGCUAUAGGCUCUGUAUUUGACAGUUGACUUUGGGCAGGCCUUUCUCUGAGGACAUUAGAUUUAAAUGAUUCGAGACAGGCAUUCAGGUCAUCAUAUAUCGCACCCAGAUUUCAUUUGAGGCUAGAUGAAAAGAAGCGGUACUUCUAAGCUGAGAAAUGGAGUGUGCAGUUGUUAGUGCUGCAGAAGGUGCCGUCCAUACUCUCUUGGGGAAGCUGGGCACGAUCCUUGUGCAAGAAGCUCAGCUUCUAGGUGGUAUCCGGGGUGAGCUGCAAUAUUUGAAGGAUGAGCUGGAGAGCAUGACGGCCUUCCUUCAGGAUCUUGCCAAGAGAGAUGAACAUCGCAAGCAAGUUAAAAUUUGGAUGAAGCAAAUUCGCGAGAUUGCAUAUGAUGUUGAGGAUUGUAUUGAUGAAUUUAAGCACUACCUUGGCAGCAGCAAUGGUAGUCAUAGUGGAGGUGGCCCUGUAGCAUUUUUCUGCAGGACCACUCACAUAUUGCUGACCACCAGGGUGCGGCAUAGGAUUGCGAAACAAAUCCAAGAACUAAAAAUGCGCACUACAGAUAUUAGUGGCCGAAACUCAAGGCUUGCUCCAGCUGAUCUCACCUGGACAAUCACGCUGAAGAUAUCACCAACUGUGCAUGAUUUUUGGGAAUGAAGCGUUUUGUCUACAUAAAUGAUGAGUCGUAACAGAAUGACUACUGCGAUAACCGGAUUUCUAAUACAAAGUACACAGUAUUGAACUUCUUGCUGAAAAAUCUAUGGGAACAAUUCAGGUUUGUGAAUACUCAUAUUAAUGAGAGUUCAGACCCAA